rnacentral:rRNA from 1 species
GUGAACGCUGGCGGUAGGCCUAACACAUGCAAGUCGAACGGCAGCACAGUAAGAGCUUGCUCUUACGGGUGGCGAGUGGCGGACGGGUGAGGAAUACAUCGGAAUCUACUUUUUCGUGGGGGAUAACGUAGGGAAACUUACGCUAAUACCGCAUACGACCUACGGGUGAAAGCAGGGGAUCUUCGGACCUUGCGCGAUUGAAUGAGCCGAUGUCGGAUUAGCUAGUUGGCGGGGUAAAGGCCCACCAAGGCGACGAUCCGUAGCUGGUCUGAGAGGAUGAUCAGCCACACUGGAACUGAGACACGGUCUAGACUCCUACGGGAGGCAGCAGUGGGGAAUAUUGGACAAUGGGCGCAAGCCUGAUCCAGCCAUACCGCGUGGGUGAAGAAGGCCUUCGGGUUGUAAAGCCCUUUUGUUGGGAAAGAAAAGCAGCAGGUUAAUACCCCGCUGUUCUGACGGUACCCAAAGAAUAAGCACCGGCUAACUUCGUG